ACCCCGUGAACCUUUACUGUAGCUUUGCAUUGGACUUUGAACAGGCUUGUGUAGGAUAGGUGGGAGGCUUUGAAGCUGAGACGCUAGUUUCAGUGGAGCCGUCCUUGAAAUACCACCCUGGUGUGUUUGAGGUUCUAACCUGGGUCCAUUAUCUGGAUCGGGGACCGUGCAUGGUAGGCAGUUUGACUGGGGCGGUCUCCUCCCAAAGUGUAACGGAGGAGUUCGAAGGUUACCUAGGUACGGUCGGACAUCGUACUGAUAGUGCAAUGGCAAAAGGUAGCUUGACUGCGAGACCGACA
rnacentral:rRNA from 1 species